GGGGGCAUCGUUCAAUGGCAGGACGGCGGUCUCCAAAACCGCCAAUCUGGGUUCGAUUCCUAGUGCCCCCG
rnacentral:tRNA from 1 species